CCUACGGGUGGCAGCAGUGGGGAAUAUUGGGCAAUGGGCGCAAGCCUGACCCAGCAACGCCGCGUGAAGGAAGAAGGCUCUCGGGUUGUAAACUUCUUUUAUCAGGGACGAAGCAAGUGACGGUACCUGACUAAGAAGCCCCGGCUAACUACGUGCCAGCAGCCGCGGUAAUACGUAGGGGGCAAGCGUUAUCCGGAUUUACUGGGUGUAAAGGGAGCGUAGACGGCAGUGCAAGUCUGAAGUGAAAGGCAAGGGCUCAACCUUUGGACUGCUUUGGAAACUGUGCUGCUGGAGUGUCGGAGAGGCAAGUGGAAUUCCUAGUGUAGCGGUGAAAUGCGUAGAUAUUAGGAGGAACACCAGUGGCGAAGGCGGCUUGCUGGACGAUGACUGACGUUGAGGCUCGAAAGCGUGGGGAGCAAACAGGAUUAGAUACCCCUGUAGUC
rnacentral:rRNA from 1 species